UUUCUAUAAAAAAAGUAGAAAACCUGCGAAACGACGGAGUGGUUGGUAUUGAAGAAAAGAGAAACUUCCAGUGACUGCGGAACCACCGAUGCCGGUGAUGUAAAUGGAAAGCUCGCUAUUGUGCAGGGAAUCAGUGGCGGAAGAACAAAAGCCCGUGCGGUGAUCAAAGCAGAAAAGGAAGAAACAGAAAUAAAAGCUCUCAACAGUCAACAAGACAAAGAAUGUAAGAAUGUUGGAUCGAUUAGCGUGCGCAAGAAGAAGAGUAAUUAACGUGAAUACAAUAAUAGAGGCACAACACAGGCUUCCGAGAAAAAGGUUAGAUACCUAUAACAUCAAAGCAGAAGGAGUUAUUACCAUGUGAUUAAGAGAUGAAAGGUUGCAGUUGCAAAAUAAGUCUCUUGGAGGUUGAAAAUGUAGAAAGGUAACAUUGCCUACAAUAACAGACUUGCUAUAUGUUUGACCUUUUACUAGACUCUCUUAUCAUGGUAGCUAAUUGCUCUUCUUUAGUCUUGUUCACAUCUCCACCUUUGUCAUCAACUUUUGUAUAACUCAAUUUUCUUUUGUACUUAAGCAGAACCUAUUGAGUUCUAUAGUGCUUUACUGUCGAGAUAUUACCUAA